AACAUCUUCUGAAUGCAACUCAAAUGCUUUAAUUAAGCUAAGACUUC
rnacentral:tRNA from 1 species